CGGAAGUAGACGGUCGCUUGUUCAAUUCGUCUACACUCUCGCGAAUACAGGGUUUACAGUGUGGUAAUAAAUUGUAUGAAAACCAGAGUGAAGUGAUAGUAUAGUGGAGUUCAAUCUGUGUCGUAUCGAGAGUGAAGUUAAUGAUAUUUUCAAGGUGCUGAUGAGCAGUAAUGUGGACGCUGAUGCGGUGAGCAGCUGGCAUGGAGGACCCUGAGAGGAUUGCGCGUGACCAGGCUGCGUGCGACCUUGCCAACAACCUCACCGUGCUGCCUGACGGUGUAUUCUGUCCUGGAACCUUCGACACGUGGCUCUGCUGGCCCCCGACUCUCGCCAACUCCACAGCAUACGCGCACUGCCCCGAGUUCGUCCCGGGAUUCAGUACAGAUUUGAUAGCACACAAAGAAUGUACUGCCAAUGGCACGUGGUGGACACAUCCCGACACGGGGAGGCCGUGGUCCAACUACACCACCUGCGUUCCAGAAGAUGACGUCACCGAUAACAUAAUAGCGUUGUACGAGACUGGCUACUCCAUAUCUCUGGUCGCUCUCCUGAUCUCACUAGCAAUACUCUUCUAUUUCAAGAGCCUGAGAUGCGCCCGGAUCACUGUGCAUAUGAACCUCUUCGCGUCGUUCGCCCUCAACAACGCACUCUGGCUGGCUUGGUACGGCCUCGUCGUUGAUUCCGCUGACGUCCUCACUGAAUCCCCAGUGUGGUGCCGGACUCUGAAUGCUAUCCUACAAUACGGUCUGCUGACAAACUAUACCUGGAUGUUGUGUGAAGGACUCUACCUGCACACGGUGCUCGUCAGUGCCUUUGUGUCUGAGCGGCGGUUGGUGCGAGCCUUGCUGGCUGCCGGAUGGUUGCUGCCGGUACCGUCUGCUGUCAUCCACGCAGCUCGUCGAGCGGCAGCCGACGAGCCUAUGUGCUGGGCGGACGACGGCGCGCCUCGACCUGAACUAGCAAUUCUCGUCUGCAUCACUGUUCUGCUAAAUCUGGCCUUUCUCUGCAACAUAGUGCGGGUUCUCUGCACGAAGCUGCGAGCCGGUGGUGGUGCCGGGUUAGCAAGACCAUCAGCAACAGCGUUACACGCUUUACGAGCCACUUGUCUACUGGCUCCUUUGCUUGGAAUUCAGUAUCUGUUGACGCCUUUCCGGCCGUCCAAAGAUGCGGGCUGGUGGUUGGCAUACGAGUACGUAUCAGCGAUUAUCACAUCUCUCCAAGGACUGUGUGUGGCUGUGCUGUACUGCUUCUGCAAUGGGGAAGUACUAGCUCAGCUCCGCAGACGCUGGAGAGUGCUGACAUUUCGACCUCGAGCUAAUUCAACUACCAACACCACAGUUUCGUUCGUAAGAUCUGGUGGGCCGGGCGGCGGGGAAGAGAAGGUCUGACUAGCGACCGGCGGCGCGGACGUCGAGGAGAUCGUCGACGACAAUCGACAACGUCGGAUCCGCUUCGAGACCGACAGCGACGAAGACGCGCCGCCGCUUACGCGCCUGCUCUAAUAUCGAGUACUCACAAGCUUAAUAACACAAACUUAAUGAAGAAGGAGUUCAUCAUAUAGAGAUCCACCUUUUCCGUGCAGUCAGCCAGCAUCUGUCCUCAGGCGUUCCGAUUUCCAUAACCAAAUUGCCCCAAUUGUUGAACUCAUCGCCGCUAUGUAUGAACGAGGAACCCGACACCACCCUUGGAUCGGGGCCUUAUAUUGUCAUGUUUUUAUUUGAGGGGGUUUCCCAUAAUCGCCACGCUAGGCAGGCGGGUUGGCGAUUGCAGUAGAUGGUGGCGUUCUCUUGGAAAGAUGCUGCUCCGUUAUUUGUAACCCUAAGUUGCCUCUUACGACACACGGAGAUAGGGUGGUGCUAUUCUGAUGCGACUACACGUGCACUAAGGUACCUACUAGUGGUAAAAUAAUGCUUCUUAAAUAGACGAAUUAGCACCUCUAGAUUAAGCUUUGAGAUUUUAUAUCAUUGUCAUAGUAGUAUAUUAUAGUCUAUCUAGACUUAUUAAUUAUCUAAGACAAAUUAUUAUCACAGUGAUGUUACAUUCAUCCAAAAUGUUUUAAACAAUGUCCAAUUUCUCCAUUCCAAUCAUCAAGGCUUCAGGACGUUCACUAUUCAAAUCUGUUAGGUAGAUACAUUUUUAUAACAAAUUUAUAAUUGUUACAUUUGAGACAGGCAUCCGUGACUUGUGUUUGUUUUAUAUCAAAAAAAAUCUACAGAUAUAUAUAUACUAUACAAUAAAAAUAUAUUUACAUAAAUAUAUUAUGAUGGUUUUAAAUAUUCUUCUGAGUCGUAUAGAGUGGAUUAUUCAAAAACCACUGCGCAUUUUUUAAAUAAAUAAAUAGAUAGACGAAAUUGCUUAUCAGCAAAUUUUAUGCGACCCUAAAUGGUUUCUCAUAGUUUUAACGGUUAGGUAUUAAUAACAUCCAAUAACAGAAGGUUGAGUCAAUCUGUGAUCGUGGCGCAUGAAACAGUGCUGAAACAUCGGGAGCUCAACGAAAGCAAAUAUUUUAAAGAAAAUUUCAGUCAUAUAAAUAAUUAAAUAAGUAUUAUAAUUAAGUAUGUAAUAGUAAAAAUACUUAAUUGUAUUUAAUUUGUAAAUUAUAGCAAGGAGGGGACUGAGCGCUUACAUAACUAAUUUUAAAAAUUAUUAAAACUAUCAAGUUCUGAUCGAAAAGUUUAAAUGUAGGUAAGCCAACCCUAACGUUGCUUUAAAUGUACUUAAUUGUAUGAUAGUAAAUAUUACUUAAGUAUAAAUAAUGAAGUAUUGUUAUAAUAUUAUUUUCAACACGCUUGCUCGUAAAGUGACCCUUAUUACAUCAUUUUUAGGGCCAUAAACCGAACUAUAGCACAUGCGUGCAUUAAAUAAUACACACUAAUGCAUAAUAGAAUUAUUAUCUACUUCAAAGUUAAAUCAGUACCUAACUGCAAAUUAGGUAUAUGAGAGUAAACAGAGCAUUUUCAAUUAAACCGGGUAAUACAGUUUAUUUGUUACAACAAAGAGGUUAUAUGCCGCUGUAAAUCCAAUUAAAUUUUUGGAAUAAAUAAAUGUGUCCCUAAUUAUGACGCAAAUACAUUUAUUAUUAUCAAAUUAUUUAUAAUUCACACUAUUUUGUUGUAAAAUAUAUGCAUCUGAUCACUAAAAUUAUAAUUUUGUAGUUGGCUGUAUGUAAUCAAACACCUUACAUUUAGCGCGUGAAAAAAAAAAACCUGCGCGCCUUUUUCCCGUAACGAUAAAAUAUGCAAUUAUUACUUAUUGUUUGUUUUUUCCUCGCAAGUGUGUUGAAAAAGUGCGUAUGAUACUCGUGAGCAAUUUGCUCACUAGACACUCGGCUGAUUUACGCCCUCGCCUACGGCUCGUGUUUAGUGAGCAACUAAGCUCACUAGUAACAUAAUAUACCUACUAAUACAUGCUUAUAAUUUAAAGAUAUAUUGAGAGACUAAUAAAUCUCUUAAAUAUUAUUAUAUCUUAGUACCUACCUAUGAAUAUAAUUAAUUAUUAUAUGGUCAUGAUUACCUAAUUUAUUGUAAAAAAUGAAAAAUAAAAAGUUAUUGUGAAAUGGUCUUAGCGGCCUACAAAUUAUAUUGUACAAACUAUAAUGUAAGUAAGCAGUAUUAUCUAUUUUUAUGUAUAUUUUAGUUAAAAUUAAGUGAUCGUCUGCUUGGUCAAUAUUACGUUUGCUCAUUAGAACACUCACAGAUAAUAUAAUUUAUAAUGUUUUGUGAAAGGCCCAGACUAUAAUGAAAGUCUAAAUACUAUUUGGUAAAUCAUUUUUAUAAAUAGUUUUUACAAGGCAUCUUAUUUUAUAUAGGAAAUGGUCUUACUGAAUAUAGUUAGUUUUUUUUUACAUUUCUGCAAUCUCAACAUAGAAUAUCCACAAUAUUGUUUAUAGAUACAUAUAUUGUUUAUUCAAUUGUAUAAAACGAGUAUUUUAUGAGCACUGUACAUUAACUCGUAUUACGAAUUAUUUACAACACGCAUUUGUAUAAAUAUAGAAUAUACAUAAAAUAGUAUAUCAAUAUACAUAAAUUAGUAUAUAUAAACAAUAGUACAUUGUAAAUAUGUUCAUUAUCAACUGUACCAACACUUCUUAUGAGAUAUUAUGGAAUUGGAAAUAAAGUGUUAUUUGAA